rnacentral:rRNA from 1 species
AACGAACGCUGGCGGCAUGCCUAACACAUGCAAGUCGAACGAGACCUUCGGGUCUAGUGGCGCACGGGUUCGUAACGCGUGGGAACCUGCCCUUAGGUUCGGAAUAACUCCCCGAAAGGGGUGCUAAUACCGGAUAAUGUCUUCGGACCAAAGAUUUAUCGCCUUUGGAUGGGCCCGCGUUGGAUUAGAUAGUUGGUAGGGUAAAAGCCUACCAAGGCGACGAUUCAUAGAUGGUCUGAGAGGAUGAUUAGCCACACUGGGACUGAGACACGGCCCAGACUCCUACGGGAGGCAGCAGUGGGGAAUAUUGGACAAUGGGGGAAAGCAUGAUCCAGCAAUGCCGCGUGAGUGAUGAAGGCCUUAGGGUUGUAAAGCUCUUUUACCCGGGAUGAUAAUGACAGUACCGGGAGAAUAAGCCACGGCUAACUCCGUG